UACAGAGGUCUCAAGCGUUGUUCGGAUUCAUUGGCGUAAAGGGUGCGUAGGCGGCGCGGUAAGUCGGGUGUGAAAUUUCGAGGCUUAACUUCGAAACUGCAUUCGAUACUGCCGUGCUAGAGGACUGGAGAGGAGACUGGAAUUUACGGUGUAGCGGUGAAAUGCGUAGAUAUCGUAAGGAAGACCAGUGGCGAAGGCGGGUCUCUGGACAGUUCCUGACGCUGAGGCACGAAGGCCAGGGGAGCAAACGGG
rnacentral:rRNA from 1 species